ACGGCCAUACCACAUUGAAAACACCGGUUCUCCUCCGAUUACCGAAGUUAAGCAAUGUCGGGUCCGGUCAGUACUUGGGAGGGUGACCACCUGGGAACACCGGGUGCUGUAGGCU
rnacentral:rRNA from 1 species